rnacentral:rRNA from 1 species
UACGUAGGGGCGAGCGUUGUCCGGAUUUACUGGGCGUAAAGGGUGAGUAGGCGGUUGUAUAUGUCAGGUGUAAAAGGCUAUGGCUUAACCAUGGUUAGCACUUGAAACUGUACAACUUGAGUGCAGGAGAGGUAAGUGGAAUUCCUAGUGUAGCGGUGAAAUGCGUAGAUAUUAGGAGGAACACCAGUGGCGAAGGCGACUUACUGGACUGUAACUGACGCUGAGUCACGAAAGCGUGGGUAGCAAACAGGAUUAGAUACCCUGGUAGUCCCU